AAAAAAACUCGCUCAAUUGAAAUUACUCUCUCUCUACUUUACCAAUUUUUUCACCAACAACUCUCUCUCUUAAGCUACCCGAUCAUGUCGUUGCUUCGCUGCUGCCGCUACUCUUUCCCUCUACAAACUUUAAGGUAUGAUUACAUAUAUUCCUCCUCCUCUUACCAUUACUCUCUCAUACGUCUAAAUUCUCAAAACCCUAAUUUUUGUGCAAACUCUUGUUUUGGGUAAAUUUUUUGAAAAACUCUUGUUUUGGGUGAAAAUUCCUGAUUUCAACCUUGUUAGUAUGUUUUUGUUUGUUUGUUUUCUUGAUAAAUUUGAUCUAUUUUGUUAUUCCAGAAUUAUUAAAACUUGCUUUUGAUUAACAUUACAUUACAUGAUACUAGUGUCAUACUUUCAGUUCAUAAUUCCUAUUGAGUGGUGUAACCUAAAGGCUCUGCAACAUUAUGAUUUAAAAAGGAGCCUUCUCAUUAUCUAUCAUGAAUUUUUUUUAGAAAGUUUUUGAUUUAAUGUGCUUGUAUUUCAACUUAUUUUUAUUCCCCAAUUGACUUCAAUUCAUAUUAUAAAAAGGAGUCUCCCCAAUUUGAUGUGCUUUAUUUAAAAAGGAGCCUUCUUAUUAUAUCUAUGGCAUGUGGUUAAUAUAUUUUUAUAAAUUUCUGGUUAACUAAUUUGAAGUCAUACACUUUUUAUAUAUCUAUUGCGUGUAGUUAAUAUAUUUUUAUAAAUUUGCAGAAACGACAUGUAGUGAUGAGUUUAAUUCAAGUAUGAGAAUGAAUAAUAUUGAGGAGUGUGUUAUGGCGAAGGAUUUUGUAGAAAGUGAAGAAGUUGAUGAAGUGAUUAGAGAUCCAGAAGUAGGAAUGGAGUUUGGUUAUGCUGAUUUAUACACUAAUUAUGGUAGCCAAAAUGGAUUUUCGGUGAAAGUAAGAUCUACAAAAAAGGAAAAAAUGGAGAGACUAAAAUUAUGGUUCUUGCAUGUGCUCGGUCAGGAUGUUCAAUAAGCAAGUCAAAGAAUGUCUUUAACUUACGCCCUGUUAGCAAAGCUGGUUGCAAUGCUAAGAUUAGGGUUGCAGUAGUCGAAGGCGAAAAAGUGCGAGUAAAGACUCUAACACUUGAUCAUAAUCAUCAGUUGAGCCCGGAAAAAUCUAGAUUUUAUAAGAUAAAUUGGAUUAUGAGCAAGUAUGUGAAAAGGAGACUUGAACUUAACGAUAGAGUUGGUAUUAGACCAAAUAAAAUUUUUAGUUCUUUCUUGGUUGAAGCUAGUGGGCAUGAGAAUGUGUCGUUUUCACUGAAAGAUUGUUACAAUUAUCUUGACAAAGUUAAGCGGUUAAGACUUGGUGAUGGGGAUGCUAUGACACUUCAAAACUACUUCCAAAAAAUGCAAUCUAAUAAUUUAAAUUUUUAUUAUUUGAUGUAUUUGGAUGAUGAUAGGAGACUAAGAAAUGUCUUUUGGGUAGAUGCAAGGAGUAGGGCAGCUUAUGAGGAGUUUGGGGAUGCCAUUACCUUUGACACAACAUACUUAACUAAUAAGUAUGACAUGUCAUUUGCCUCAGUUGUUGGAGUUGAUCAUCAUGGUCAAUCAAUACUCUUAGGAUGUGGACUAAUAUCUCAUGAGGAUAUUGAGUCAUUUAGUUGGCUUUUUAAAACUUUGCUUAGGUGUAUGAAUGGUCGUGCUCCUACCGCAAUAAUCACUGACCAAGACAAAACAAUGAAGAAGGCUAUAUGUUCCCCAAUGCACGACAUAGGUGAUGCUUGUGGCAUAUUAUGAAGAAGUUGCCCGAGAAAUUAAGUGGUUACAAUCAAUAUGAAUCUAUCAAAUAUUUAAUGCAACAAGCAGUUUAUGAUUCAUUGACUUGUAAAGAAUUUGAAGAGCGAUGGGGUAGUUUCAUUGAGAAAUUUAACUUGAAAGAGAAUGAUUAGUUGACUGGGUUAUACGAUGCGAGAAGUCGUUGGGAGCCGACAUUUUUAAGGAAUACUUUUUGGGCUGGAAUGUUCUCAACUCAAAGAAGUAAAAGUAUGAAUGCCUUUUUUAUGAUUAUGUGAAUUCAAUGACAACUUUAAAAAAAAUUGUUGAGCAGUAUGAGAAUGCAUUAAGAAGUAAGGUGCAAAAAGAUAAUGAGGCAACUUUCAAUUCCUUCGACCAUUGGAUUCCAUGCCUUAUUGAUUAUCCAUUUGAGAAAUAAUUUCAAGAUACUUAUACCACGACAAAAUUCAAGGAAUUUCAAGAAGAGGUAAAAGGGAAGCUUUAUUAUGUCAUUGAUUCAAUUAAAAUAGAAUGUGGUUUUGAGGUGUAUGAUUUUACACAAGAUAUGUUUGGAGGGACUCAUGAAGCCACUUUUAGAGUUUAUUUUAAAAAAGAUGAAUGUGCCAUUAAGUGCAAUUGUAAAUUAUUUUAGUUCAGGAGAAUAUUAUGUAGACAUGCCCUUACGGUGUUGCUGAAAAAAUGAGUUCGAACCUUACCGAAUAAAUUCAUUCUUUGAAGGUAGAGAAAGACGUGAAGAGGUGUCAUAAGAAGGUUAAGAUAAUAUACUUCGAAUGGAUGUUGAAUCCAGAAAAUGAACGUUUUAAUAGGAUAUGCAACUCUUUUUAUGAAGCGGUAGACUUAGCGACAGAUAAUGAAGAUAACACAAAACUUGUUAUGCAUUGGAUUAAAAAUCUUGUUAAUGUACUAAAAAUGAUGAUGGAAAGUGUGAAAGUAAUCAGUCGACUCCGUCCAGACAAGGCACCCAAGUGGGUAUUGGUUGUAAAGAAAGCAACAAUAUUCGUAGUCCAUUGUCGCUUCAUCGUAAAGGUCGGCCCCGCUUUAAAAGGCUUCAGUCUAAGAUUAAGAAAGUUGUUAGAGGUAUAAGAGUGAGGAAAGGGAAAGGGAAAGGGAAAUGGAAAGAGAAAGAAAAAGGGAAAGACAAGGCCAUUGAACAUAACAUGGAUUUCACUAAUUUGGUAAACCUUUUUCUUUAAUUUUUUUCAAAUGUAAAAACUUAUUUAUUUAAAUUAAAUGUCUUAUUUUACUGCUUUUUAUUUUGUGUAGAGUGCUCAAGGUGACUAUUUUGUAAGCGUACUCAAUAACAAUUCCCAAGUUGAACAUUGUCCAGAAGACUACAUGAGACAUGGUGUAAUAGAUCUUAAUCUAUAGGUUUGUCACUAAUUUAUAUGAAUAAACCAUAUUCUUAGAGGCUUUAAUUUAUAUGAAUGAUCAUUACUUUAAACAUUUCAUGUUGGAGACUUCUCCACCAACGCAAAUCUGCAAUCAUCACAUGUUGAUAACUUUUCAUUUGCCACAAAUCAUGAUAUCUAUUAUGGAGGGGGUUUCCCUAUUCAUUUUCAGUUAUAUUGUCUUAUUUUACUGCUUUCUCUUUCAUUUUGUAGUGUCAUAUUGAGUAUUAUUUGUUGAUGAAAAUCACCAUUUUAUUUUUAUUUUUGUUGGAUUACUAUAACCCAUAUUAGAGGAGUGGUGAAGGAUGUGAUCCAAACAAUACGAGCGGAUAAUUUUGUUGUAAUUUUGUAGGUACACAUUGGUGUAAGUGUGAGGACUCGUGUAGAAUUUUUUUUGGCUUUGCUUUGAUUUGGGAUACAUGUGUUUAAUCGUAUGUUUUGUAAUGACUUGAGUUAUAAUCUAGUAUUGCAAUGGGUUCUUGUUACUAU
rnacentral:lncRNA from 1 species